UGCCAGACUCCUACGGGAGGCAGCAGUGGGGAAUAUUGCACAAUGGGGGAAACCCUGAUGCAGCGACGCCGCGUGAGUGAAGAAGUAUUUCGGUAUGUAAAGCUCUAUCAGCAGGGAAGAAAAUGACGGUACCUGACUAAGAAGCCCCGGCUAACUACGUGCCAGCAGCCGCGGUAAUACGUAGGGGGCAAGCGUUAUCCGGAUUUACUGGGUGUAAAGGGAGCGUAGACGGCAUGGCAAGUCAGAUGUGGAAGCCCGGGGCUCAACCCCGGGACUGCAUUUGAAACUGUCAGGCUGGAGUGCAGGAGAGGUAAGUGGAAUUCCUAGUGUAGCGGUGAAAUGCGUAGAUAUCAGGAGGAACACCGGUGGCGAAGGCGGCCUGCUGGACUGCAACUGACGUUGAGGCCCGAAAGCGUGGGGAGCAAACAGGAUUAGAUACCCGAGUAU
rnacentral:rRNA from 1 species